rnacentral:rRNA from 1 species
GUGGGGAAUUUUGGACAAUGGGCGCAAGCCUGAUCCAGCAAUGCCGCGUGAGUGAAGAAGGCCUUCGGGUUGUAAAGCUCUUUCAGUCGAGAAGAAAAGGCUGCAGUGAAUAACUGUAGUUUAUGACGGUAUCGACAGAAGAAGCACCGGCUAACUACGUGCCAGCAGCCGCGGUAAUACGUAGGGUGCGAGCGUUAAUCGGAAUUACUGGGCGUAAAGGGUGCGCAGGCGGUUUUGUAAGUCAGAUGUGAAAUCCCCGGGCUUAACCUGGGAAUUGCGUUUGAAACUACAAGACUAGAGUGUGGCAGAGGGAGGUGGAAUUCCAUGUGUAGCAGUGAAAUGCGUAGAGAUAUGGAAGAACAUCGAUGGCGAAGGCAGCCUCCUGGGUUAACACUGACGCUCAUGCACGAAAGCGUGGGGAGCAAACAGGAUUAGAUACCCCUGUAGUCC